rnacentral:rRNA from 1 species
GACGAACGCUGGCGGCGUGCUUAACACAUGCAAGUCGAACGAAGUGGCGAACGGGUGAGUAACGCGUAAUCAACCUGCCCUUCAGAGGGGGACAACAGUUGGAAACGACUGCUAAUACCGCAUAGUGAUGGAGGGGAUUGCGUCUGAUUAGCUAGUUGGAGGGGUAACGGCCAGCCAAGGCGAUGGUCAGUAGCCGGUCUGGGAGGAUGAACGGCCACAAUGGGACUGAGAAACGGCCCAGACUCCCACGGGAGGCAGCAGUGGGGAAUCUUCCGCAAUGGGCGAAAGUCUGACGGAGCAAAGCCGGGUGAGUGAUGACGGCCUUCGGGGUGUAAAGCUCUGUUAAUCGGGACGCGGUACCGGAAGAGAAAGCCACGGCUAACUACGUGCCAGCAGCCGCGGUAAUAC